GACGAACGCUGGCGGCGUGCUUAACACAUGCAAGUCGAACGGAAAGGCCCUGCUUUUGUGGGGUGCUCGAGUGGCGAACGGGUGAGUAACACGUGAGUAACCUGCCCUUGACUUUGGGAUAACUUCAGGAAACUGGGGCUAAUACCGGAUAGGAGCUCCUGCUGCAUGGUGGGGGUUGGAAAGUUUCGGCGGUUGGGGAUGGACUCGCGGCUUAUCAGCUUGUUGGUGGGGUAGUGGCUUACCAAGGCUUUGACGGGUAGCCGGCCUGAGAGGGUUACCGGCCACAUUGGGACUGAGAUACGGCCCAGAAGCGUACGGGAGGCAGCAGUGGGGAAUAUUGCACAAUGGGCGGAAGCCUGAUGCAGCAACGCCGCGUGCGGGAUGACGGCCUUCGGGUUGUGAACCGCUUUCGCCUGUGACGAAGCGUGAGUGACGGUAAUGGGUAAAGAAGCACCGGCUAACUACGUG
rnacentral:rRNA from 1 species